CGGCAGGCCUAACACAUGCAAGUCGAGCGGUAGAGAGAAGCUUGCUUCUCUUGAGAGCGGCGGACGGGUGAGUAAUGCCUAGGAAUCUGCCUGGUAGUGGGGGAUAACGUUCGGAAACGGACGCUAAUACCGCAUACGUCCUACGGGAGAAAGCAGGGGACCUUCGGGCCUUGCGCUAUCAGAUGAGCCUAGGGUCGGAUUAGCUAGUUGGUGGGGGUAAUGGGCUCACCAAGGCGACGAUCCGUAACUGGUCUGAGAGGAUGAUCAGUCACACUGGAACUGAGACACGGUCCAGACUCCUACGGGAGGCAGCAGUGGGGGAAUAUUGGACAAUGGGCGAAAGCCUGAUCCAGCCAUGCCGCGUGUGUGAAGAAGGUCUUCGGAUUGUAAAGCACUUUAAGUUGGGAGGAAGGGGCAGUAAAUUAAUACUUUGCUGUUUUGACGUUACCGACAGAAUAAGCACCGGGCUAACUCUGUGCCCAGCAGCCGCGGGUAAAUA
rnacentral:rRNA from 1 species